GGGCUAUUAGCUCAGUUGGUUAGAGCGUCGUGCUUAUGACGCGAAAGUCACGGGUUCGAGUCCCGUAUAGCCCA